GACGAACCGAGCGAACGUUGUUCGGAAUCACUGGGCUUAAAGGGCGCGUAGGCGGCCUGCCAAGUCAGGCGUGAAAUCUUUCGGCUCAACCGGAAAAGUGCUUUUGAUACUGGCGGGCUAGAGGGAGAUAGGGGCAUGUGGAACUUCCGGUGGAGCGGUGAAAUGCGUUGAUAUCGGAAGGAACGCCGGUGGCGAAAGCGACGUGCUGGACCUCUUCUGACGCUGAGGCGCGAAAGCCAGGGGAGCGAACGGG
rnacentral:rRNA from 1 species